UCGUGAGUGUGGCAGGGUGGGGAACCCAAGUUUCAUAAGUCACCACAGGUGCAAGACUCGCCAUAGCUCGACUCUCAUUUUAAAGUCCGGACGAGUCAAGUCUAGGAAUUGCAUGCUUAAGUGUUAUUUAUGAAUCUGUUUGAUAUAAGUUGUUCUUGUAUGUUACAUGUUUAAUACAAUUGUAUGAAUUUAUAUAAUUAGCUCACCCUUGCCUUUGUUGUUUGUGUUUAUGUAUGUUGUUUGAUUCCCU
rnacentral:lncRNA from 1 species